ACCUACCUAAGUCAAUGUAUCUGAACAGUGUGAUUAGACAAACGAUACAGUAUCAACUGAACACACUUUUCAAAACUGAGGGAUGAACCAAGUAUAGAUUAAUAUGAAAUAAUUUAACAAACAGAUGAAAAUGAUUUUUUGAGAAUUUUUUUAAAUUGUGUAUUCACUGCAUGAUAAAAGACCUAAAAGCACUAGUGGCCCUGGAUUUCUAAAAAUAGCAAAACAAGUAAACGGUCAUGAUACAUAUUCAUAUUCAUUU
rnacentral:lncRNA from 1 species